GAAAAGAAGAAUAUCAAGUUAUCAACCAUCAUUAUUCGGUUCAAAAUUUCAAAUUCCGGUAUAAUUUGCUAAUUGUUCUUUGGAUAUAUAGAUUGCAAUUCUGCACUUGAUUGCAAUUCGAUCUGCUCUAGCAUAGAUUGCACUUAUGUGUGAGCCUUGCUGAUUUAGUUUUUGGUUAAUCAAUAUUCUUUGUCAAUGGUUAAGUAAUUUGCUUGAAUCGGUUCAAAAUUCAUACUUUGAUUUUGUGUUUCUUCUUGCAGAGAGUAGGCAAAUGCAGAAGUUUACAGAAUUUUUUUUUUUUUUUGAUAAACAGUUUACAGAAUUAUGUUUGUAGUGUUUAAGUGGUGACAAAACAUUUCAUUCCCUGCUUCAAUGAAUAGAAAACAUAUAUUCAAUCUUGCGAGUUUGUGCUUUUUAAAUGUUGUUGCUUUCUUGGUGCAGGGAAUUGCAAUUAGUUUUUUUAGGUUCAAAGUGAAAGUUAUGUUGCACGUCUCUAUUAUUUGGUCAGUUUCAAGAUCAGAAGAGAUGUUCGUUUUUGUUACUUUCUUUGGUCUUCAUUGAAGGGGAAGCAGACGUUCUUUGAUGAAUAAGUUAAUUUGUUUUACAGAUAGUGUGUGCAGAUAGUGUGUUUCACAGGGUUGGGAAGACUUCUUUGAUGAAUGAGUUAAUUUGUUUUAGUGAUUACCUGUUUAAUUUCAAAGGUAUUGUGUUAUGUUGUUUAGAUAGAGCAAUUUUGCUUUUUCUUGACCAUAAUUCGUAUAGAUAUAUAUGUUAAUAAAAAGUUCAGUAAUCAAUAAGAGGUGACUACUGGAGCCGAUUUCUUGACGAAAGAAGUGCAGUUCGAAGAUAGGAUCUUCACCAUACAGCAACAGGAGGAUCUGGAAUGUGCAAGCCCUUGCCCAGUAAUGCUGAAUUGUUUGUAACUGAUCGAGUAGAGGAGAGUAUAUAACAACCAUCAAGGUUGAACUGCAGUAGAUACAAGGCAACUGACUAUCUCUCUUGCUGAUAUCUUUUUUAGUAGAGAUUGAGCAUUAGUUUGUAUUUAAGAUACAUGGAUUAUGGUUGUAAUUUUGAGUUGGACAGAGCCAUUGGAGGUGUGGCAUUUCAUAUUGUACUAUCUUAUAAGUGGUCUAUAAACAAAAUAGGUAAAUGAAAAAA